rnacentral:rRNA from 1 species
GAGUUUGAUCCUGGCUCAGGAUGAACGCUAGCGGGAGGCUUAACACAUGCAAGUCGAGGGGCAGCACGAGGUAGCAAUACUUUGGUGGCGACCGGCGCACGGGUGAGUAACAGGUAUGCAACUUACCCUGUACCGGGGGAUAACCCGAAGAAAUUCGGACUAAUACCCCAUAAUAUUACCGGGAGGCAUCUUUUGGUAAUUAAAAUUCAGGUGGUACAGGAUGGGCAUGCUCAACAUUAGCUAGUUGGUAGGGUAACGGCCUACCAAGGCUACGAUGUUUAGGGGGCCUGAGAGGGUGAUCCCCCACACUGGUACUGAGACACGGACCAGACUCCUACGGGAGGCAGCAGUGAGGAAUAUUGGUCAAUGGGCGCAAGCCUGAACCAGCCAUCCCGCGUGCAGGAAGACGGCGCUAUGCGUUGUAAACUGCUUUUCUGGAGGAAGAAACGCCGCGACGUGUCGUGGUUUGACAGUACUUCAGGAAUAAGCAUCGGCUAACUCCGUGCCAGCAGCCGCGGUAAUACGGAGGAUGCGAGCGUUAUCCGGAUUCAUUGGGUUUAAAGGGUGCGUAGGCGGACUUAUAAGUCAGUGGUGAAAUCCUGCAGCUUAACUGUAGCACUGCCAUUGAUACUGUUAGUCUUGAGUUUGGUUAAGGUAGGCGGAAUGUGUAAUGUAGCGGUGAAAUGCUUAGAUAUUACCCAGAACACCAAUUGCGAAGGCAGCUUACUGGACCGAUACUGACGCUGAGGCACGAAAGCGUGGGGAGCGAACAGGAUUAGAUACCCUGGUAGUCCACGCAGUAAACGAUGAUCACUCGCUGUUGGCGAUACACAGUCAGCGGCUAAGCAAAAGCAUUAAGUGAUCCACCUGGGGAGUACGGCCGCAAGGUUGAAACUCAAAGGAAUUGACGGGGGCCCGCACAAGCGGAGGAACAUGUGGUUUAAUUCGAUGAUACGCGAGGAACCUUACCUGGGCUUAAAUGUAGACUGCAUAGCGUGGAAACAUGCUUUUCCUUCGGGACUGUUUACAAGGUGCUGCAUGGUUGUCGUCAGCUCGUGCCGUGAGGUGUCGGGUUAAGUCCCAUAACGAGCGCAACCCUUAUCGUUAGUUGCCAGCGGGUAAUGCCGGGGACUCUAGCGAAACUGCCGGUGUAAACCGAGAGGAAGGUGGGGAUGACGUCAAAUCAGCACGGCCCUUAUGUCCAGGGCUACACACGUGUUACAAUGGCCGGUACAGAGGGCAGCUACUUGGUGACAAGAUGCAAAUCUCGAAAGCCGGUCUCAGUUCGGAUCGGAGUCUGCAACUCGACUCCGUGAAGCUGGAUUCGCUAGUAAUCGCGCAUCAGCCAUGGCGCGGUGAAUACGUUCCCGGGCCUUGUACACACCGCCCGUCAAGCCAUGGAAGCUGGGGGUGCCUGAAGUCCGUAACCGCAAGGAGCGGCCUAGGGUAAAACCGGUGACUGGGGCUAAGUCGUAACAAGGUAGCCGUACCGGAAGGUGCGGCUGGAUCACCUCCUUUCU